rnacentral:ribozyme from 1 species
GCCAUUCUUCUCUCGCUCAAUCUCCACCAUCCAGGAAGCAUCGGCGGCUCAUCUGGGCGGCCGAACACGGCUCCGUCCGGAAGCCCAGAGUUCUCGGACAAACC